rnacentral:rRNA from 1 species
UACAUGGGGUGCAAACGCUGCUCGGAAUUAUUGGGCGUAAAGCGCGCGUAGGCGGUUACUUAAGUCGGAUGUGAAAGCCCUCGGCUUAACUGAGGAAGUGCACCCGAAACUGAGUAGCUAGAGUACGAAAGAGGGUCGCGGAAUUCCCGGUGUAGAGGUGAAAUUCGUAGAUAUCGGGGGGAACACCGGUGGCGAAGGCGGCGACCUGGGUCGAGACUGACGCUGAGGCGCGAAAGCGUGGGGAGCAAACAGG